rnacentral:lncRNA from 1 species
UCUUGACCACAUGGAAUUCAACCAAUGGUCUCAUAUAGAACUUGUUGCUUACUUUGUUUUGGUUCAAUAUGUUAUUAACUAAUUGAUUACAAGGCUUUUGUUCAUUCACUGAAGUUUGCCAAAAACAAAUGAAAGCAAGUAUAUAUUACAAAUUGAUUGACUGAAGGCUGUCUACAAAAGAGAGACCGAAAUGGCUAUUAUAAGUUUGCAACAUAGAUUUCAAAGAAGAAAGCAGGGCAUUCUAGUUUGGCAAAUAAGAAUAUAAAAACAUUCGUUCAUCCAACAAAAAUAUUUGAUACGUAGAUUCUCGGAAGUGCUUAUAUUGAUUGGCACCAAAUGUCAUGCACAAUCAUCACUUGCAAGAGUUCAACUGGUCCAAACUUCUGGAGAUACGUACUUGCCUUCAACUUGCAAAACUAGGCACAUUACAUGUCAACUUUAAGUAUGACUUCCAGGGAAAAAAUGGAACCCGAACUGAAAUGCUCAAUAGCAAAGCCAAAAAACUGAACUUCACAGCUCAUAUGAUAUGAGAGCCCUAAAAACCAAAGUUAACUGUUAAAAUAUGACAAGAAGAAAGCAGGAAGGAAGCUUGUUGCCAGUAGAGAUUCCAGCAAAGUCCAAGAACUACCAGCUACACAUUGAAUUCUAGAAGAAUCAGCUAAAGGAAUUUGUGUGUUAUUAGGCUUCAAAUCAGUUAUGAGUGGAAGAAUUAAUUUUUGGUUGGAACUGUUUUGUACAGCUAGUGUAGAGUUUGUUAGGAAUAUUCCUUUUAUUCAAUUAUAUAAGGGUACUACCAGUUUGUAUUUUGAUAUGAAAAAGAAUACACAGUAAAACAUUCUCCCCCUUGUGUAAUUCGUUCCCUUUUGUUGGCUUUUCUUUUGUGGUAUCAGAGCCAAUAUGGCUCAAGAGGAUUUCAACUCAAAUCAAAACCAAAAUCUACCACCAAACACAGAACAAGAAAAUUCUACCAACACAAAUCAGAAUCAAAACAUACUUCCAGAUCCAAAUUCUAUUAAUCCAUCCCAGCCAUAUAGUCCAUAUUUUAUUGGUAACAAUGAUAGUUCUGGAGCACUGCUGGUCACUCAAAUGCUGGAUUCCAGCAACUAUCAUUCUUGGGCAAGAUCAAUGAGGAGAGCUCUUCGAAUAAAAAAACAAACUAGGUUUCAUAGAUGGGACUAUUUCUGAACCUGCCGAUGCAAACAGUCCAUUGAUGGACCACUGGUUGCGCUGCAAUGACAUUAUCAUUACAUGGUUGCAGAACACCAAGUCAAUAGAUAUCAAGUCAAGCACACUUUAUGUUGAAACCGCUCACCAGUUGUGGCUGGAACUUGAGCAGCGAUUGGCACAGCAAAAUGCGCCCAAAAUUUAUGAGAUAAAGCAAAGCAUUGUGGAUUUACAGCAGAACUGGGAUUCUGUAAGUAUGUAUUUUUCAAAACUCAAGACUCUCCUUGAUGAAUUAUUAAAUUAUGAAUGCAUCCCAAACUGUACUUGUGGGGGGGGCCUGAAGACUGUGGUGAACAAUCAAGACAAGGAUUGGGUGAUGAAAUUUCUCAUGAGACUUAAUGACUCAUACAAGAGUCUUAAGGCCCAAGUCCUUCUGAUGAAGCCCUUUCCCAGCCUCAAUGAAGUAUAUUCAAUUGUUCAACGAGAAGAAAAGAGAAGAGAAAUCUCUGUGGAUAUUCCUGUCAAUGAUACUAUGGCCCUCAUGGCAAAGGCUACUACCAGAGAUGCAGGAAAAUAGAAUUUGAUGCAUCGGAAAAAGUACGACUAUUCUUUUUUGCAAAAUGCUUGGGCAUUCCCUUGAGAGAUGUUUCAAAGCCAACUCAGACAAACCAACAUGUAAUUACUGUAAUGUGCCUGGUCACACAACUGAUAAAUGUUACAAGUUACAUGGCUAUCCACCGGGGCACAUGUUAUAUGGAAAAACUAAAGUAAUUUCAUCCUCUGCCAAUCAAGCAGUCACUCUUAGGCAACCCAGCCAAGAGCAGCUCAUUAGCAACACCCAAAUGUCUUUAACUCAAGAGCAAUAUGCUCAGCUAAUGACUUUGCUCAAACCACAGAACAACCAGCUUUUCACAUCCUCAGCCAACCAAGUGAAAACUUGCAUACCUUCCUCUACAAAUGAUGUUGACAUUCUAAAGAUCUCUGGUAUUUCUCUUUGUUUUUCUGUGUGCAACACAAGACCAAGAAAUGUUUCUGACACUGCUUGGAUUGUGGACACUGGGACAACUAAUCAUAUGAUCUAUUCCCCAACCUUCUUCACCACUAUCUAGGCAAAAAUCGAUCACUCAGUUGCUCUCCCAAAUGGGGACUUUGUUAGAGUCACUCAUAUUGGAAUAGUUAAAUUAAGUGAAAGGCUAAUCUCAUAUGAUGUUCUAUGUGUACCUUCCUUCUAUUUCAAUCUGAUAUCUACUAGAAAAUUGUCACAAACCUCACAUUGUUGUCUCAUUUUUCUUCCUGAAACUUGUUUUGUGCAGGACCUUUCCACUUGGAAGACGACUGGAAUGGGUGAAGUGAGAAAUGGCCUAUACCCCCUAAUGCGGAAUAAAGUCUCCUCUAUAGCCUUGGAUGAUUUCUACCUUUUCUAGCCAAGAAAUCCACCAAAUCAGCUUCUGUCAUCUGCAGCCAGGAAGUCACCAAUAUGUGGCACUACAGAUUAGGACACCCUUCAGAUUCCAGAUUAGAUCUUUUAAAUUUUAAUCAUCUACCUAAGGAAGCUAAUACCAAAACACCUUGUCCUAUCUGCCCUCUAGCAAAGAUGCAUAGGUUGCCCUUCUCCAUUAGUAAGCAUAGGUCUCAGAAAUGUUUUGAGUUAGUCCAUUGCGAUUUAUGGGGACCUUGUAAUGAAACGGCUUAUGAUGGGUCGAGAUAUGUCCUUAGCAUUGUAGAUUAUUUUAGUAGAUGUACUUGGUUAAUGUUGCUGAAGUUUAAAUCAGAUGCUACUAGUGUUUUACAGAAAUUUUAUGCAAUGAUUGAAAAUCAGUUCGAUUCCAAAAUUAAAAUAAUUAGGACUGACAACGGAAGUGAAUUCAAAAUGAAACAUUUCUACUCUGAAAAGGGUAUCAUCCACCAAAAAUAUUAUGUAGAAACCCCUCAACAAAAUGCUAUAGUCGAGAGAAAACAUCAACAUAUCCUAAACGUUGCAAGGGCUUUAAUGUUCCAGAGUGGAAUUCCAAUGAAGUACUGGUCUGAUUGUGUUCUUACUGCAGUCUACCUCAUAAAUAGAACUCCUUCUCCACUCCUCAAAAACAAAACACCUUUUGAACUCCUUUUCAAAGCUAAACCUACAUACUCUCACCUUAAAUUCUUUGGAUGUUUAGCCUAUGCCUCUACACUCACACACAAUCAACAUAAAUUUGAUACUAGAGGAAGGAGAUGUGUGUUUUUAGGUUAUCCUUUUGGGAUUAAGGGCUGCAAAUUGCUAGAUUUGGAUUCAAACAAAGUUUUUAUCUCACGAAAUUUUGUUUUCCAUGAAAACGUCUUUCCUUGCAAAACCUUAGAUACUGCCACUCAACCAUCUUCACCAAUCUUGAGUGAAAAAAUUUUUGAUCAACCAUUAACCACUAAUAUAGAUUGUCCUAUUGAGCAAACUUCUUCUAUCCAUGAUCAACCUUCAGAGGUCUUAGACCAACCACCUGCUUUACUAAAUUCAUCUGAUCAACCUGAGAAUUCUAUAGAAUUACCUCAGAGUAAUCCCACAAGUCCUCACUUGCCUCGAAGGUCCAAUAGAGAUAGAAGGGUCACCUUCAUAUCUACAGAAUUUUGUAUGCCAACAAGUCUCCUCACUUCCCAAUUCACAAAAGUCCAACAAGGAGAAAGGUCAUGCCAGAUCAAGUAGUCCUUUCUCUUUAUGUGCUACUUUAUCAUAUCAAAGAUUGUCCAAUCCACAUAAAGCUUUUGUAACUUCUAUAUCAACACACACAGAACCCAAAACAUAUCAAGAAGCUGUAAAUUUUUGGAAUGGCGUGAUGCCAUGAAAGCUGAAAUUAUUGCACUCGAGAUGAAUGACACUAGGGUUGUGACUUAUUUACCUCUUGGAAAGGUUACCACAGGCUGCAAGUGGGUCUGUAAAAUUAAAUUCAAUGCAAAUGGGAGUGUGGAACAAUACAAGGCUAGGCUUGUGGCAAAAGGGUACACACAACAAGAAGGGUUAGACUAUCAUGAAACGUUCUCACCCGUAGCAAAACUAUAACUAUGAGGACUUUGUUGGCUGUUGCUGCAAUCAAGGGUUGGUUUCUGCACUAAUUAGACAUAAACAAUGCAUUACUACACGGAGACUUAGAUGAGGAUGUGUAUAUGCAACUACCUCUUGGAUAUUCCAAAGAUCGUGAGUCAAAGGUUUGUAAACGCAAGAGUCUAUAUGGACUCAAGCGCCCCUCUAGACAAUGGCAUUCUAAGUUGUCUUCAUUUAUUAUUCAGCAAGGUUUUCAGCAAUCCAAAUCUGAUUAUAGUUUAUUUACAAGGUGUACCAAGGACUCUUUCACAGCCAUAUUGGUCUAUGUUGACGACAUCAUAAUAGCAGGCAAUAGUAUGCAGGUUAAUGAAACUUUAAAAUCAUCUCUUGAUGCCAUGUUCAAGAUUAAAGAUCUGGGGGUACUGAAGUAUUUUCUUGGAAUAGAAGUCACACGGUCAGGAAAAGGGAUUUAUAUUUGCCAAAGGAAAUAUCUCUAGAUAUUCUUGCGGACUCUGGAACCAUUGGAGUAAUACCAACCAACAUACCAUUGGAUCAACACUUCAAACUCUCCAAAGACCAGGGUGAAUUACUCCCUGAUCCUUCCAUUUAUAGGAGACUUAUUGGUAGGCUCCUUUAUUUAACAAUGACCGGACCUGAUCUUGCAUACUCAGUACAAGAAGCCAGUAUAUGCAAGCCCCCAGAAUCCCACAUCUGAAUGCAGCUCAUAAAGUAUUGAAGUAUAUUAAACAAGCACCUGGACAGGGUUUGUUUUACUCCUCUACAUCUAAUAUGCAACUCAGAUCCUAUUGUGACUCGGAUUGGGUGGCAUGUCCAGAUACCAGGAGAUCCAUCACAGGCUAUUGUGUUUUCCUUGGGUCAUCUCUAAUUUCAUGGAAAUCCAAGAAACAAAGUACCAUUUCUAGAUCUUCUGCAGAAGCUAAAUACAGGGCUAUGGUUAGUGUUUGUUGUGAGUUAAGUUGGCUUAGGUAUUUGCUCCAUGACUUACAAAUUGAUCAUCCUCAAGCGGCAUCAUUAGCUUGUGAAAUCAAGCUACUCUACACAUUGCUGCUAAUCCAGUCUUUCAUGAAAGGACCAAACACAUUGAGCUUGAUUGUCAUUUGAUUCAUGACAAAAUCGAAGAGGGAAGUAUUGUUACUGAACAUGUGAGUAGUGAUACUCAGAUUGCAGACAUUUUGACUAACCAUUAGCGUCGGCAUACUUUUAUUCUCAUUUAUCCAAGAUGGGAGUAGAAGACAUCUACUCUCCAUCUUGUGGGGGGCUGUUAAAAGAUGACAAGAAGAAAGCAGGAAGAAAGCUCGUUGCCAGCAGAGAUUCCAGCAAAGUCAAAGAACUGCCAGCUACGCAUUGAAUUCUAGAAGAAUCAACUAAAGGAAUUUGUGUGUGUUUGUGUAUAUAUUAGGCUCCAAAUCAGUUAUGAGUGGAAGAAUAAAUUUUGGUUGGAAUCGUUUUGUACAACUAGUGUAGAGGUUGUUAGGAACAUUCAUUUUCUUCAAUUAUAUAAGGGCACUACCAGUUUGUAUUUUGAUAUGAAAAAGAAUACACAGUAAAACAUUCUCCCUCUUGUGUAAUUCGUUCCCUUUUGUUGGCUUUUCUUUUAUUAACUGCUCAAUAUUCGAAGCCACAAAAGUGACAAUGUCUAAGUGAAUUGCUAUAUAGAGAAUUUAAGCUUAUUGAAUAAGGAAAAGUUUAUUCUCUCAAAAGCCAACAAAAACUUCUUAAUAGUCGAAGCCACUAAAAUGGCUCAGUAUUUUCUUCUGGAUAUUAACAAAGCCCUUCAAGUUCAGCUAUGCGAUAUAAAAUCGAGGUCCCUGUUCAAAACAUAACAGUGUCGAUUUGACGGAGGUGGUUUCAAAGAUGGUUAUUUUCAAUAUUUUCAGUAUAAACAUCGCUUAUAACAGCCUCAAACACUACACAUUACAACGAAUAUGGAAAAUCCCUUUCCUUGUCAUCUCAUCGAUAGCUUCCAACUCCAUUGCUAAAUGAAGAUGGGUUUGAGCAGGUGGUUGAAGAAAUCGGAAUAGUCGAUGGAAUAGCAGGAGAUAGUUGGAGAUGGAAAAAGGAGAUGCGCCGUCGGUGGAUUUAGUUUCAGUAGCGCCGUGGAAGAAGCGGGAAAUGAUUCUAGCAUUUUCUAUCCCUGAUUUGACGGGAGGAAAUAUUUUGGCGCUAUUCUCCAAAUUGUGGGUUUUUUUCUUCUUUUUUAUUGCCAUGUCAGCCUAUUUCAAAAUCCUAUGCAUUCCCUGUGAAAUGGAUUCUGUACGUGUAGACUAAUUCGAAUGGGUUAACUACAAAUAUCAUCAUUGCUCUAUUAAUGGCCUGGAUUGGCAUCUCAGGCCAAUAGAUCUUUACGUUGAUGCCAGUGGUAUAACAAAAUAACAUUAAGUAAAGAUAAUACUAAAAAAAAUUAGGGUCAACUUCACUUUUAUCAUCAGCAUCAAGUGAAUAUAUAACUAUAAUAUCACAAAGUUGACCAGUAUCAAUUCUUAGCAUUUUUAAACAAUAUUUGAACGCGUUUAGAGGCAAACCUUAGUCCCCUGUUAGCUACAUUCAAAUGGAAUGAAUUUGUUUCAUGGGCUGGUGAUUCUUUAGAUAUUAUCACUCUAAUAUAAUGCAUUCUUGCAUCAAUGGGUUUAGUUCUUUCAUGAAAAAAUUGAAUUUUAUGUAAAUGAAUAGUACUCUAACUAUCAAAAUAUGCAACAAUGGGAUUAGACAAUUCUUUUAUGGCUAUGGUAGCAUCACAUAUUGUGCUUCAGUAGUAGAUCAUGUUCCAAAAGAUUGAAAUCGAGAAUUCCCAACUAAUGCAAGUUCCACACAAAGUAAACAUAUGUGCAUCAGUGGGCUCUUUAUUAUUCCUAUCCACAAAAAAGUCAAAAUCAACAAACACUUUAAGGGCCUAUUUGAUACCCUUGUUUUCCAUGUAGAAUGGAAAAUAUUUUUCAUUCCCACCCAAAAAUGCAUGUUUGAUGGCACCCAAAUUCCAUGGAAAUUGAUUAUAAAUUUCCAUUUCCACCCAAAAAUGCAUGUUUGAUGUCAUCCGAAUUCCAUAGAAUUGGUUUUCCCCCCCCCCCCCCCACGUGACCAAUUUUCUAGGUUUUUAAGGAAAAUCAAUUCCUUUGGUUUUGGUGGGAAUUGAAUUUUGGCAAUGGAAACAAAUUCUAUCCACAAUUGCAUUAUAUCCCUUUAAUUGACAAUUUUCAUUAAAAAACAAAGUGAAACGAAUACCAAAAGAUCCAAAAUUUUAACAUUUUUUAGAUGAAAAUUAUAUCAAUCAAACACAUUUAAUUGACAAUUCCCAAUAAAACAAAUUUUAUAUAAUUCAAUUUCCUGGAAUUUGCUUUCUUUCCACUCAAAUUUCAUUCUUACAAUCAAACGAACCCUAAGAAAAAAAUUACCUGGAAAGAAUGUUUCUAAAGGCUCUAAUUCCAGAUUUGUCGAAAUUUGUUUCAAAAAAACAAAUUGAAAAUGAACUUUAAAUGUAAACAAGCAAGAAUAUAAUUUAAAAAAAAAAUUAAUUGUUCACCCAGUUCAGUAAAUGACUAAUCUAGGGUCUCAUAAAUAAGCUUGUUCACUAAGGGUGUGUUUGAUCACAUUUAUUUUCAUGAAAAAUAUCAGUUUUCGACUCAAAUUCCUAUUUAAAGUGUUUGAUUGCUAAUUUUUUUCACGAAAAAUAUUUUUUAACUUUUGAAAAUAUGUCUAAUUUUCCUUGUUUUUAAGGAAAAUAUUUUCUUUAGGUGGAGGUGAUUUUCAUUUUUCACAAAAGAAGGAAAAUAUUUUCUUUUCUAUAUCAUAUUUUUCAUACCAAUCAAACAAAUGAAACAAUAGCCUUCCACAGAGAGUACAAUAUACAUUGGAGAAAAAAAUGAAAAAAUAAAAAAAUUAGAACGUGAUUUUUGUCCCAGAACUACAAAAAUUUUAGUGAUCACAACCACAACCCAUAAACUAUUCAAAAACCCAAACUCGCUACAAAAUCAGAACAUCACAGCCAAUAUUUCAAGUAUAAGAGUACUGUAGCAAGACCAAUUUACAAGGAUCACAAUUGGUCUAGAAACUUAGAGAAGAUUAUACCAAAAAAGGAAGCAGGAGAAGAAGAAGCACCUACGAAGUCAGAGCGAAAACUUGAAAAUUGAACACAUGAAUGUAACCGCGCUCAAUUCAACCGUUUGACUUUCUCGAAAACCAAAGGAUCAUAUCUGAUCCAACUUUUAAUCCUAACCAUUAAUCAG